rnacentral:rRNA from 1 species
AACCUCCGCAAUGUGAGAAAUCGCGACGGGGGGAUCCCAAGUGCCAUUCUUAACGGGAUGGCUUUUCAUUAGUGUAAAGAGCUUUUGGAAUAAGAGCUGGGCAAGACCGGUGCCAGCCGCCGCGGUAACACCGGCAGCUCUAGUGGUAACAAUUUUUAUUGGGCCUAAAGCGUCCGUAGCCGGUUUAAUAAGUCUCUGGUGAAAUCCUGUAGCUUAACUGUGGGAAUUGCUGGAGAUACUAUUAGACUUGAGACCGGGAGAGGUUAGAGGUACUCCCAGGGUAGAGGUGAAAUUCUGUAAUCCUGGGAGGACCGCCUGUUGCGAAGGCGUCUAACUGGAACGGUUCUGACGGUGAGGGACGAAAGUUAGGGGCGCGAACCGGAUUAGAUACCCGGGUAGUCCUAACUGUAAACGAUGCGGACUUGGUGUUGGGGUGGCUUUGAGCUGUCCAGUGCCGAAGGGAAGCUGUUAAGUCCGCCGCCUGGGAAGUACGGUCGCAAGACUGAAACUUAAAGGAAGU